GUAAAUGAGCUCAUGUUAUGAUAAUUCCACAAUAUGGACAAUUAUCUCGAGUUCUCUAGACUCAAGAGAGAGACAAGAUAGAAUACAACCUUGGGCUACAAACCCUCAACCAAUAUCCUUCUCUCCCCUCCAAGAGUGGAUUGCUUUUCAACUUGACCAACAACUGAGUGAUAUUAUAAAUAUGGUCCAAUACUCCCAAACUCACAGUCGGGUUUUACAAUGAACCUUUUGCUGGAUAAGAUCAGAUGCCUGAAAGCAAUCACAAAGGGCUUCAAGACCCAUAUCUCAGCAUCACAGUGGUAAUUCAAGAACCCCACUUGGUUAAGAAAGAGAGAAAAAGGCUUCAGAAGCCUUUUUAUCAAGUGAAUGAUCCUUCCGCAGGUUCACCUACGGAAA
rnacentral:misc_RNA from 1 species